rnacentral:rRNA from 1 species
GACGAACGCUGGCGGCGUGCUUAACACAUGCAAGUCGAGCGGAGUCGAUCGACGGAAGCCUUCGGGCGGAAGAUGGUUGACUUAGCGGCGGAUGGGUGAGUAACGCGUGGGCAACCUGCCUCGAAGACCGGGAUAACAGCCCGAAAGGGCUGCUAAUACCGGAUGUGGUCAAAGAUCCGCAUGGAUUUUUGAUUAAAGGGGAAACCCGUUUCGAGAUGGGCCCGCGUCCUAUCAGCUAGUUGGUGAGGUAAAAGCUCACCAAGGCGACGACGGGUAGCCGGCCUGAGAGGGUGACCGGCCACACUGGAACUGAGACACGGUCCAGACUCCUACGGGGGGCAGCAGUGGGGAAUCUUCCACAAUGGGCGAAAGCCUGAUGGAGCGACGCCGCGUGAGCGAAGAAGGCCUUCGGUUGUAAAGCUCUGUCUGAGGGACGAAGGAAGUGACGGUACCUCGGAGGAAGCCACGGCUAACUACGUGCCAGCACGCCGCGGUAAGAUCACGUUA